GUCUACGGCCAUAUCACCCUGAACGCCCCCUAUCUUCUCUCAUCUCAGAAGCUAAGCAGGUUUGGGCCUGGUUAGUGCUUGGUAUGGAAGAAAGCAUUAGACA
ensembl:rRNA 5S_rRNA 5S ribosomal RNA